AGGCUUCCUGGAGUUUCCUUUAAUUGUUUGGGGAGAUCUGUGUUGCAGCUACUGAACAAAACCACAGUGAAACAGAUAACUUUGGAUCCAAAGAAGUUCUCCAUGUUCCUAUCAUGGGACAGUGCCUACUUGGAUAAUUCUGCCUAUGCAGCAUAAUAGAGCACGCUGCAGAGAUCUCUGAAGUGAUGCCACCCUGAUCAUAUGUACAUGAUUAGAGACACAUUUCUGCUAGUAAUUUAUAUUUGUCUCUAAAUCCAGAUAUGAAAGUCUUUUGAGACAGAACUGAAGAAUAUAGGAGUUUCCAGUAGCAACAGGAGCAAUUCCCUGUGAUGAAGACUUGUCUUUUCAGUAGAACUGAAUGUAUCUUCAUACUCAACAUCAAGAACCUCCAAAAAAGCCCAAAUUUACUUCACUAGAAAAUAGUGUGAAGCUGAGUUAAAGUAGAAGCAGUCUUUUUGAGAACAGAAGGAAACAAGAUGUUAAAAGCUAAUUUUUAAUUUGUGACGUGCAGUUAAACAGUCUAUAUUUCUACUCAUUCCAUGAUAUUUGGAGUUGGCUUCCAUGGACAUAAGACAUCUGGGUUGCAAUGUAACUAUAAUGCUUGCUAAAAGAAUCCUAAUCUUUAUGUCUAAUUUCUCAGUUAUAUCAUUUGAGACUGAGACACUGCUUAUAUUAUUCAUCAUAGGUAUUGAAAAUACUUUAAGCAUUUCCAAGGAAGUCUUGAGAACCAAAUGCCAAAGCUUGAGGGUAGGGGAGAGUUGUUUGCAAAUUGCACGGAUGCAGCAUCAAGCUAACGGGCAAGGGAUUAACCAUUUUAGUGUGCAGUACACCAGAGGGGGAGAGAAGUGCAAGAGAAAGCAAAAGUCAUUGCAUGUUAAGUACUGAACUAAUGAAAGUUGUCGUGUCAUAAUUUAGGAGAGGGGUGGGGUUGGCUUCUACUUUGCAUCUGGCAUGUAGUUAAAUCUGUGUGCUAUUGUACCUUACCCAUGCAAAUCUAAGUGGAAAUAAACAAAUAAAAUUCCAAAAUCUUUGGAAGACUCAUUUCACAGAUUUUUGUUUUUCCUAAGCUAAAGAAGUCAUAUAUUCCAUUUAUCUCCUGUCACUACUGAUUACUUCAGCACUUUGGAUAACAUUUAAAACCAGGCAGUUUAUAAAAUAGAAGAGGCAUUACCUCUUAUACAGGGAUGAAAAAUACC